UCAGAUUGAACGCUGGCGGCAUGCCUUACACAUGCAAGUCGAACGGCAGCACGGAGCUUGCUCUGGUGGCGAGUGGCGAACGGGUGAGUAAAUAUAUCGGAACGUAYCCUGGAGUGGGGGAUAACGUAGCGAAAGUUACGCUAAUACCGCAUACGAUCUAAGGAUGAAAGUGGGGGAUCGCAAGACCUCAUGCUYGUGGAGCGGCCGAUAUCUGAUUAGCUAGUUGGUAGGGUAAAAGCCUACCAAGGCAUCGAUCAGUAGCUGGUCUGAGAGGACGACCAGCCACACUGGAAYUGAGACWCGGUCCAGACUCCUACGGGAGGCAGCAGUGGGGAAUUUUGGACAAUGGGCGCAAGCCUGAUCCAGCAAUGCCGCGUGAGUGAAGAAGGCCUUCGGGUUGUAAAGCUCUUUUGUCAGGGAAGAAACGGUGGGAGCUAAUAUCUCCUGCUAAUGACGGUACCUGAAGAAUAAGCACCGGCUAACUACGUGCCAGCAGCCGCGGUAAUACGUAGGGUGCAAGCGUUAAUCGGAAUUACUGGGCGUAAAGCGUGCGCAGGCGGUUUUGUAAGUCUGAUGUGAAAUCCCCGGGCUCAACCUGGGAAUUGCAUUGGAGACUGCAAGGCUAGAAUCUGGCAGAGGGGGGUAGAAUUCCACGUGUAGCAGUGAAAUGCGUAGAUAUGUGGAGGAACACCGAUGGCGAAGGCAGCCCCCUGGGUCAAGAUUGACGCUCAUGCACGAAAGCGUGGGGAGCAAACAGGAUUAGAUACCCUGGUAGUCCACGCCCUAA
rnacentral:rRNA from 1 species